rnacentral:rRNA from 1 species
GGAGAACAGGUUAAUAUUCCUGUACUUGCUAUUUUCGCUAUGUUUUUUGAAUCGCUUUCGGAUAAGUGGAGUGCCGAAAGGUACAAGGAACGAGAAAUUUAUGGAUUGUAAUGAAGAGAAAUUUAAGAAUCGUCCUGAAUCUGCUGAGUCCAAGAGUCACUGAAAAGUUCAAAAAAUAGAAAGUAGCGAGCAGUACCAAGAACUGGCACUGGUACCCUAGCUGAGAAGGCUAAGACGUGAAGGGUUAAUCAAGUUAAGGGAAUUCGGCAUAAAUAGUCCCGUAUCUUCGGUAGAAGGGAUGUCUAUUCUUUUCCAUGAUUCAUUAUGGGGGGGAGUAGAUCUCAGUAACAAGGAUGGCACGACUGUUUACCAAAAACGUAGCUAAGCGCAGCUCCGAAAGGAUAAGUAUGCUUGGUGAAGUCUGCCCAGUGGUGGUGUCUAAACUCCGGUUUCAACCGGACGAAAGCCCAUCAAACGGCGGGCCUAACUAUGAGGCUCUUAAGGUAGCGUAAUGCCUUGUCAUCUGAAUGGUGACGUGCAUGAACGGCUUAACGAUGUUGUCACUGUCCCUAACUUGCACCCUCCGAAAUCAUUUACCGGUGAAAAGGCCGGUGUCGUCUAGUGGGAAGCGAAGACCUUGUAGACCUUUACUGCAACCUGUUGUUGUGAAUUUAUUAUGAUUGCCCAGAGUAGGUAGGAGCGUUGAAGCUAAGUUUCGGCUUAUUGGAGCAAAAGUGUAACACUACCCAAUUUUAAUAGAUCCGCUAACCUUAUUGGGACAGCAAUUGGCGGGCAGUUUGGCUGGGGCGGCACCCCGCAGAAAAGAUAUCUGUGGGGCCCAAAGACAAACUCAUCCAGUUCGGAAAUCUGGAGUAGAGUGUAAAGGCAAAAGUUUGUCUGACUGUAUUUUGAAAAGCAAGGAAUGCAGGAAUGAAAGUUGGGCUUAACGAACCAUCGAUGAUUUUUAAUGGAUCACGAUGAUGUCAGAAAAGGUACCUCAAGGAUAACAGGCUUGUCGCCCCCGAUAGUUCACAUUGACGGGGCGGUUUGGUACAUCGCUGUCGGCUCUUCCUAUCCUGGAUGUGCACAAGCAUCCAAGGGUGUCGGAGUUCACGCAUUAAAAGGGAUCGUUAGCUGGGUUAAGAACGUCGUGAGACAGUUUGUAUGAUAUCUACUAGAUGUGUUGUUAACUGAGUGGAAGGACCCUCCAGUACGAGAGGAACGUGGGUUCGGAGCCUCUGGUCUACCAGUUGUUAUGAGCAGGCUGGGCAGCUACGCUCUAUCCGAUAAGUGCUGAAAGCAUCUAAGCACGAAGCGGACCGCAAAACGAAUUAACAUAGGCCGCAGUAAAAGACUGCGUUGAUAGAGACGGAAUGUAAGCAUUGAGCUUUCGCGAUUUGUUCAGUUCGCGUCUACUAAAAGCCACACACUAAUUUAU